rnacentral:lncRNA from 1 species
AGCAGACACUCCUGUUAGUCUCUAAAGGAGGUUGUUAAUGAGAAUGAGCAGACACUCCUGUUAGUCUCUAAAGGAGGUUGUUAAUGAGAGUGAGCAGACACUCCUGUUAGUCUCUAAAGGAGGUUGUUAAUGAGAGUGAGCAGACACUCCUGUUAGCUCAGUUGACUUUAGUCCCUGUUCCAUCCUUCAGAUUAGCAUGGAGGUGAGUGACUUUCACAGCAUGACAUCUGCUCCCCAGCUGAGCACAGCACCUGUGUUAACUAGGAUCAGUUCCUCCCAGGCCAACAGGGCUUCUCUCUGAGCCAACAGUGAUCUCUGUCUCUCUCUCUGUCAGCUAGUUAAGUCCUCCACCUGGUGCACCACACCGAUACCACAGUCAAGAGUCCUCUAGGGAGUGUUAUGAUCUUUCUCUCUUUCAGCCUUGGCUUGUGUAACCUGGCCUGUCUAGUACCUCUGUCUGUGUGUGUGUGUGUGUGUGUGUGUGUGUGUGUGUGUGUGUGUGUGUGUGUGUGUGUGUGUGUGUGUGUGUGUGUGU